rnacentral:rRNA from 1 species
UUAAGCGACUAAGCGUACACGGUGGAUGCCCUGGCAGUCAGAGGCGAUGAAGGACGUGCUAAUCUGCGAUAAGCGUCGGUAAGGUGAUAUGAACCGUUAUAACCGGCGAUUUCCGAAUGGGGAAACCCAGUGUGUUUCGACACACUAUCAUUAACUGAAUCCAUAGGUUAAUGAGGCGAACCGGGGGAACUGAAACAUCUAAGUACCCCGAGGAAAAGAAAUCAACCGAGAUUCCCCCAGUAGCGGCGAGCGAACGGGGAGCAGCCCAGAGCCUGAAUCAGUAUGUGUGUUAGUGGAAGCGUCUGGAAAGGCGCGCGAUACAGGGUGACAGCCCCGUACACAAAAAUGCACAUGCUGUGAGCUCGAUGAGUAGGGCGGGACACGUGGUAUCCUGUCUGAAUAUGGGGGGACCAUCCUCCAAGGCUAAAUACUCCUGACUGACCGAUAGUGAACCAGUACCGUGAGGGAAAGGCGAAAAGAACCCCGGCGAGGGGAGUGAAAAAGAACCUGAAACCGUGUACGUACAAGCAGUGGGAGCACGCUUAGGCGUGUGACUGCGUACCUUUUGUAUAAUGGGUCAGCGACUUAUAUUCUGUAGCAAGGUUAACCGAAUAGGGGAGCCGAAGGGAAACCGAGUCUUAACUGGGCGUUAAGUUGCAGGGUAUAGACCCGAAACCCGGUGAUCUAGCCAUGGGCAGGUUGAAGGUUGGGUAACACUAACUGGAGGACCGAACCGACUAAUGUUGAAAAAUUAGCGGAUGACUUGUGGCUGGGGGUGAAAGGCCAAUCAAACCGGGAGAUAGCUGGUUCUCCCCGAAAGCUAUUUAGGUAGCGCCUCGUGAAUUCAUCUCCGGGGGUAGAGCACUGUUUCGGCAAGGGGGUCAUCCCGACUUACCAACCCGAUGCAAACUGCGAAUACCGGAGAAUGUUAUCACGGGAGACACACGGCGGGUGCUAACGUCCGUCGUGAAGAGGGAAACAACCCAGACCGCCAGCUAAGGUCCCAAAGUCAUGGUUAAGUGGGAAACGAUGUGGGAAGGCCCAGACAGCCAGGAUGUUGGCUUAGAAGCAGCCAUCAUUUAAAGAAAGCGUAAUAGCUCACUGGUCGAGUCGGCCUGCGCGGAAGAUGUAACGGGGCUAAACCAUGCACCGAAGCUGCGGCAGCGACACUAUGUGUUGUUGGGUAGGGGAGCGUUCUGUAAGCCUGUGAAGGUGUACUGUGAGGUAUGCUGGAGGUAUCAGAAGUGCGAAUGCUGACAUAAGUAACGAUAAAGCGGGUGAAAAGCCCGCUCGCCGGAAGACCAAGGGUUCCUGUCCAACGUUAAUCGGGGCAGGGUGAGUCGACCCCUAAGGCGAGGCCGAAAGGCGUAGUCGAUGGGAAACAGGUUAAUAUUCCUGUACUUGGUGUUACUGCGAAGGGGGGACGGAGAAGGCUAUGUUGGCCGGGCGACGGUUGUCCCGGUUUAAGCGUGUAGGCUGGUUUUCCAGGCAAAUCCGGAAAAUCAAGGCUGAGGCGUGAUGACGAGGCACUACGGUGCUGAAGCAACAAAUGCCCUGCUUCCAGGAAAAGCCUCUAAGCAUCAGGUAACAUCAAAUCGUACCCCAAACCGACACAGGUGGUCAGGUAGAGAAUACCAAGGCGCUUGAGAGAACUCGGGUGAAGGAACUAGGCAAAAUGGUGCCGUAACUUCGGGAGAAGGCACGCUGAUAUGUAGGUGAAGUCCCUCGCGGAUGGAGCUGAAAUCAGUCGAAGAUACCAGCUGGCUGCAACUGUUUAUUAAAAACACAGCACUGUGCAAACACGAAAGUGGACGUAUACGGUGUGACGCCUGCCCGGUGCCGGAAGGUUAAUUGAUGGGGUCAGCGCAAGCGAAGCUCUUGAUCGAAGCCCCGGUAAACGGCGGCCGUAACUAUAACGGUCCUAAGGUAGCGAAAUUCCUUGUCGGGUAAGUUCCGACCUGCACGAAUGGCGUAAUGAUGGCCAGGCUGUCUCCACCCGAGACUCAGUGAAAUUGAACUCGCUGUGAAGAUGCAGUGUACCCGCGGCAAGACGGAAAGACCCCGUGAACCUUUACUAUAGCUUGACACUGAACAUUGAGCCUUGAUGUGUAGGAUAGGUGGGAGGCUUUGAAGUGUGGACGCCAGUCUGCAUGGAGCCGACCUUGAAAUACCACCCUUUAAUGUUUGAUGUUCUAACGUUGACCCGUAAUCCGGGUUGCGGACAGUGUCUGGUGGGUAGUUUGACUGGGGCGGUCUCCUCCUAAAGAGUAACGGAGGAGCACGAAGGUUGGCUAAUCCUGGUCGGACAUCAGGAGGUUAGUGCAAUGGCAUAAGCCAGCUUGACUGCGAGCGUGACGGCGCGAGCAGGUGCGAAAGCAGGUCAUAGUGAUCCGGUGGUUCUGAAUGGAAGGGCCAUCGCUCAACGGAUAAAAGGUACUCCGGGGAUAACAGGCUGAUACCGCCCAAGAGUUCAUAUCGACGGCGGUGUUUGGCACCUCGAUGUCGGCUCAUCACAUCCUGGGGCUGAAGUAGGUCCCAAGGGUAUGGCUGUUCGCCAUUUAAAGUGGUACGCGAGCUGGGUUUAGAACGUCGUGAGACAGUUCGGUCCCUAUCUGCCGUGGGCGCUGGAGAACUGAGGGGGGCUGCUCCUAGUACGAGAGGACCGGAGUGGACGCAUCACUGGUGUUCGGGUUGUCAUGCCAAUGGCACUGCCCGGUAGCUAAAUGCGGAAGAGAUAAGUGCUGAAAGCAUCUAAGCACGAAACUUGCCCCGAGAUGAGUUCUCCCUGACCCUUUAAGGGUCCUGAAGGAACGUUGAAGACGACGACGUUGAUAGGCCGGGUGUGUAAGCGCAGCGAUGCGUUGAGCUAACCGGUACUAAUGAACCGUGAGGCUUAACCUU